rnacentral:lncRNA from 1 species
CGCGCCCCCUCGCGGGGCCGCCCCGGCACUGCCGGUGCCUCCCACCGGUGCGGGGGCCUUGGGCGGCGCCGCUCGUCGGGAGAGAGACGGAACGCCCCGGGCACCGGGCACUGGGCUCGGAACGCUCCGGGCACCGGGCACGGAACUCACCAGGCACCGGGCUCGGAACGCUCCGGGCACCGGGCGGCCCCGGCGCGAGAACUUGGACCAGAAGAUCUGGGGGAAGUACCAAUGUGCUAAUAUUUAUAGGAUGAAAAUGACAUGUCUUGUGGAAUUGUUCAAUUUGACAGUAUCAGCCCUGGACAGAAUAAUGGAAGGGUUGGCCACACAUUAUCAGAGGGAAUGCUGACUGCCAUUAACUCUACAGCCAACGUACAUUUCCAAGAAAUCUAAUUUAUGCCUUUUUGGAAUGCCACCAGUAGAGGAGGACACUCUCAAACUCCACAUCAAGGGAUGCUGAGCUCCACCUGCCUUCCUUUUGCUCAGUGGGAGCACUCUUUAUCUGCUCACCUACCACAAAGCUCCUGGGCUACCUGCUGCUUGCCCUAUUUUAAGGACACAUUACCAAAUGUAUCUGUUGCAUUUACAUUCAGUGAUUCUUUGCAUUUUAUGAAUAAACAUGGAUUGUACUCAUAGCAUGGUACUCCUGAUAAACUGACACUGCA